rnacentral:sRNA from 1 species
GAGAGUCGGAGCCAUUACUGCAGGAAAAGGUCCCGGAGAGCUGAGCAGUCAAGAUGUGUGACUUCACCGAAGACCAGACCGCAGGUAGGUUAUCUCUGAUCCCUACCGAGGUCACCCUUAGGGAGAGGGACACCCUCCCCCCAGCACCUAUCCUCUAAUCUUAAUCUGUCAUCUCUUUAGCACCCCCAUGAGAUUACCCCCUGGAUUAUUUUCUCUUCUUCUGGAUCCUCCAUUUUCUUUUCUCACUUUCUUCCUCCCUCCCCUUCCACUCUAGAUCUGAUCCCAAGCACUGGGUGAGUUUUAGGUGGUGUGGGUAUGUGAAAAAACUUGGUCACUUAAUGCGUGCUGUGUGUGGGGUCUCGGGAGGGUGUAUAAAGCUGCCUGCUUUCCUUUGUCCUUUAAUCAGCUACUUCUGCCUCUUUUCUCCUCCUGUGAUAACUGUCCCCGCCCUCCCAGCUUGCAGUUGUGAAGAUUGUAGAGCAGUGACCUGAUAUUCUGUGCAGAUGGGGACAAGACAGGGGAGUUUGCUAAGGAUAUGACUGUAGCUAUACCCUCUGGAAGUUCUCUUUAUACUGGAGAGGUGCGAAGUGGCAGGUCGGGAUGACCCUAGUCCUAGGCUGCUGCUCCCACUUCCUUAUAAGGACAGGACUGAGACUGGGCGGUGGCGAAUUCCUGCCCUGAGAAGUGUAGUAGCAGCAGUGGAGAUUGGCAGGCCUGCCGCAGGCAGAGGGGGUGUGUAAAUGGAUGUUACCAGGCUGCCAGAGGGGGAGGAAGCCUCUAUAUAGGACACUUGAGUUGGGAGGAAGAGAAAUAGAGCCCUCUUAAGUAGACUUUGGUGUACAGUUUGGUGCAGAUAUCUCGUUUCCUCAGCAUGAUCAAAGUUGAAUGGGCAGCAGAGCUCUGAGGUAGGGUUUGGAUUAACCCUCAAAUCCUGUGUUGACAUUCAUCUGAAUCCUCAGAGUUCAAGGAGGCCUUCCAGCUGUUUGACCGAACAGGUGAUGGCAAGAUCCUGUACAGCCAGUGUGGGGAUGUGAUGAGGGCCCUGGGCCAGAACCCUACCAACGCCGAGGUGCUCAAGGUCCUGGGGAACCCCAAGAGUGAUGAGAUGAAUGUGAAGGUGCUGGACUUUGAGCACUUUCUGCCCAUGCUGCAGACAGUGGCCAAGAACAAGGACCAGGGCACCUAUGAGGAUUAUGUCGAAGGACUUCGGGUGUUUGACAAGGAAGGAAAUGGCACCGUCAUGGGUGCUGAAAUCCGGCAUGUUCUUGUCACACUGGGUGAGAAGAUGACAGAGGAAGAAGUAGAGAUGCUGGUGGCAGGGCAUGAGGACAGCAAUGGUUGUAUCAACUAUGAAGCGUUUGUGAGGCAUAUCCUGUCGGGGUGACGGGCCCAUGGGGCGGAGCUCGUCCGCAUGGUGCUGAAUGGCUGAGGACCUUCCCAGUCUCCCCAGAGUCCGUGCCUUUCCCUGUGUGAAUUUUGUAUCUAGCCUAAAGUUUCCCUAGGCUUUCUUGUCUCAGCAACUUUCCCAUCUUGUCUCUCUUGGAUGAUGUUUGCCGUCAGCAUU